rnacentral:tRNA from 1 species
GGUAGGGCCUCCGGACCUGGUGGCCGGCCCGGUCUUCAAAACCGGUGAGGGGCUGCGAGAGCAGUCCCUGGCGAGUUCGAUUCUCGUGCCCUACCGCCA